GGCCAGGAGAGGGGCUUGCGUCUGAUUAGUUAGUUGGUAGGGUAAAGGCUUACCAAGACUAUGAUCAGUAGCUGGUUUGAGAGGACGAUCAGCCACACUGGGACUGAGACUCGGCCCAGAUCCCUACGGGGAGCAGCAGUGAGGAAUCUUCCGCAAUGGGCGAAAGCCUGACGGAGCACUAUCGCUGUGCAGGAAUACGGCUCGUGAGUUAUAAACUCCUUUUGUCAAAGAAGAAAGUUGACGGUAUUUGACGAAUAAGCAUCGUCUAUACUCUGUGCCAGCAGCCGCGGUAAUACAGGGGAUGCAGGCGUUAUCCGGAAUAAUUGGGCGUAAUGCGUUUUGAGGUGGGUCACCAAGUCUGCUGUGAAAGAUCCGGGCUUAACCCUGAAUAUGCGGUGUCACUUGAUAUUUGUCAAGUGAAUACUUUUGUUUUACAUGAGUAUGAAACUAAUGGCCUUGAGUACGGUAGGGGUAGAGGGAAUUCUCGGAUAAGCGGUGAAAUGCAUAGA
rnacentral:rRNA from 1 species